rnacentral:rRNA from 1 species
GACGAACGCUGGCGGCGUGCUUAACACAUGCAAGUCGAACGAUGAAGGAGAGAGCUUGCUCUUUUUGGAUUAGUGGCGAACGGGUGAGUAACACGUGAGUAAUCUGCCCCGGACUCUGGGAUAAGCGUUGGAAACGACGUCUAAUACCGGAUAUGAAGCGUGGAGGCAUCUUCUGCGUUUGGAAAGAUUUUUUGGUUUGGGAUGAGCUCGCGGCCUAUCAGCUUGUUGGUGAGGUAAUGGCUUACCAAGGCGACGACGGGUAGCCGGCCUGAGAGGGUGACCGGCCACACUGGGACUGAGACACGGCCCAGACUCCUACGGGAGGCAGCAGUGGGGAAUAUUGCACAAUGGGCGCAAGCCUGAUGCAGCAACGCCGCGUGAGGGAUGACGGCCUUCGGGUUGUAAACUGCUUUUAUAAGUGAGGAAUAUGACGGUAACUUAUGAAUAAGGAUCGGCUAACUACGUGCCAGCAGCCGCUGUAAAAC